rnacentral:rRNA from 1 species
AAGUGAGAAUGCCGGUGUGAGUAGCGAAAGACGGGUGAGAAUCCCGUCCACCGAUUGACUAAGGUUUCCAGAGGAAGGCUCGUCCGCUCUGGGUUAGUCGGGUCCUAAGCUGAGGCCGACAGGCGUAGGCGAUGGAUAACAGGUUGAUAUUCCUGUACCACCUAUAAUCGUUUUAAUCGAUGGGGGGACGCAGUAGGAUAGGCGAAGCGUGCGAUUGGAUUGCACGUCUAAGCAGUAAGGCUGAGUAUUAGGCAAAUCCGGUACUCGUUAAGGCUGAGCUGUGAUGGGGAGAAGACAUUGUGUCUUCGAGUCGUUGAUUUCACACUGCCGAGAAAAGCCUCUAGAUAGAAAAUAGGUGCCCGUACCGCAAACCGACACAGGUAGUCAAGAUGAGAAUUCUAAGGUGAGCGAGCGAACUCUCGUUAAGGAACUCGGCAAAAUGACCCCGUAACUUCGGGAGAAGGGGUGCUCUUUAGGGUUAACGCCCAGAAGAGCCGCAGUGAAUAGGCCCAAGCGACUGUUUAUCAAAAACACAGGUCUCUGCUAAACCGUAAGGUGAUGUAUAGGGGCUGACGCCUGCCCGGUGCUGGAAGGUUAAGAGGAGUGGUUAGCUUCUGUGAAGCUACGAAUCGAAGCCCCAGUAAACGGCGGCCGUAACUAUAACGGUCCUAAGGUAGCGAAAUUCCUUGUCGGGUAAGUUCCGACCCGCACGAAAGGCGUAACGAUUUGGGCACUGUCUCAACGAGAGACUCGGUGAAAUCAUAGUACCUGUGAAGAUGCAGGUUACCCGCGACAGGACGGAAAGACCCCGUGGAGCUUUACUGUAGCCUGAUAUUGAAAUUCGGCACAGCUUGUACAGGAUAGGUAGGAGCCUUUGAAACGUGAGCGCUAGCUUACGUGGAGGCGCUGGUGGGAUACUACCCUAGCUGUGUUGGCUUUCUAACCCGCACCACUUAUCGUGGUGGGAGACAGUGUCAGGCGGGCAGUUUGACUGGGGCGGUCGCCUCCUAAAAGG